rnacentral:rRNA from 1 species
UACGGAGGGUGCAAGCGUUAUCCGGAUUCACUGGGUUUAAAGGGUGCGUAGGCGGGCAGGUAAGUCCGUGGUGAAAUCUCUGAGCUUAACUCAGAAACUGCCAUGGAUACUAUUUGUCUUGAAUAUUGUGGAGGUAAGCGGAAUAUGUCAUGUAGCGGUGAAAUGCUUAGAUAUAACAUAGAACACCAAUUGCGAAGGCAGCUUACUACACAGUUAUUGACGCUGAGGCACGAAAGCGUGGGGAUCAAACAGG